CCCACUUAUUUAACACCUUCUUAUCCGCCUGGCCCCUGUCUGCUCGGUUUUGGGUUGGGGUGACCGCGGAGCAUAAAAUAGCCUCCACGAAAGAAGGGAUGAUUCCCUCAUUUUAGAACUACACUUCCAAAGACUAACAAAUUAAUUUUAAGUGAUCCGAUACCCGUAUUCGAUCAACGAACCAAGUUACCCUGGGGAUAACAGCGCAAUCUACCUCAAGAGCCCCUAUCGACAGGUGGGUUUACGACCUCGAUGUUGGAUCAGGGUAUCCCAGUGGUGCAGCAGCUACCA
rnacentral:rRNA from 1 species